CACGUAGGGGACGAGCGUUGUCCGGAUUCAUUGGGCGUAAAGCGCGCGUAGGCGGCUCGGAAAGUCGGUCGUGAAAUGCCGGGGCUCAACCCCGGGACUGCGUCCGAUACUCCCGAGCUGGAGGCAGGUAGGGGAGAUCGGAAUUCCUGGUGUAGCGGUGAAAUGCGCAGAUAUCAGGAGGAACACCAGAGGCGAAGGCGGCGAACUGGACAGCAACUGACACUCAACUGCGAAAGCGUGGGGAGCAAACAGG
rnacentral:rRNA from 1 species